rnacentral:rRNA from 1 species
ACGACUCUCGGCAACGGAUAUCUCGGCUCUCGCAUCGAUGAAGAACGUAGCGAAAUGCGAUACCUGGUGUGAAUUGCAGAAUCCCGCGAACCAUCGAGUCUUUGAACGCAAGUUGCGCCCGAGGCCACUCGGCCGAGGGCACGCCUGCCCGGGCGUCACGC